ensembl:lncRNA
AGCAGAGGCAGAGUGAAGGCGGAACCCUUCAGGAGGCCGGCGGCAAGGACGAUGAGGGCUCAGUCCCUCAGGAGACCUGCAGUGGCACAGAACCCCCUCAGAAGGCCGGCAGCGGUGAAGGCGGAACCCUUCAGGAGGCCGGCGAAGGCGAGGUAGAGGGCGGGUCCCCUUAAGAGGAAGGCCAGGUAGAGGGCGGGUCCCCUCAGGAGGCAGGCCAGGUAGAGGGCGGGUCCCCUCAGGAGGACAGGGUAGGGGGCGGGUCCCCUCUCGUAGAAGGCCAGGCAGAGGGCGGGUCCCCUGAGGAGGCAGGCCAGGUAGAGGGCGGGUCCCCUCAGGAGGCAGGCCAGGUAGAGGGCGGGUCCCCUCUGGUGGACAGGGUAGAGGGCGGGUCCCCUCUUGUAGAAGGCCAGGCAGAGGGCGGGUCCCCUCUGGUAGAAGGCCAGGCAGAGGGCGGGUCCCCUCUGGUAGAAGGCCAGGUAGGAACGGAGGGCGUGCCUCCCCUGGACGGUCUGGAGGGCGGACCCCCUCCGGCAGGAGCAGAGGCCGGUCCCCCUCUGGAAGGAGCAGGGGGCGGGCCCCCUCAGGCAGGAGCGGAGGCCGGUCCCCCUCUGGAAGGAGCAGGGGGCGGGCCCCCUCAGGCAGGAGCGGAGGGCGGACCACCUCAAGCAGGCGAAGAGGCCGGUCCCCCUCUGGAAGGCGAGGAGCGGGCUCAGGAACCGGACAGGGCUCGGGGACCGGAGUCAGUGCGGGAGCUGGAGUGCCAGGAGGAACCGGGUGGUACCCCAAACUCUUCCAGCGAUCUAUUGCCUUCAUAAUAAAUAAAUCCUCCCACUCACGGCUAACUUGAUCGUCCGCUGGGUCCAUUGUCUUAUUUAUUUUGGCUAUCAAAUCCUCCAACUUACGGUCAAAUUGCGCGUCCGCUGGGUCCCAUCGUGACGGUGCUGUCAUUCUGUUAAGG